GAUGAAGAACGCAGCGAAAUGCGAUACAUAAUGUGAAUUGCAGAAUUCAGUGAAUCAUCGAAUCUUUGAACGCAUAUUGCGCUCUCUGGUAUUCCGGAGAGCAUGCUUGUUUGAGUAUCAGUAAACACCUCAACUUCCAUAUCUUUUUUGAAAUGGGAGUUGGACUUGAGUGAUCCCAACGCUUUUCCUCACCGAAAAGUGGCGGGUUACUUGAAAUGCAGGUGCAGCUGGACUUUUCUCUGAGCUAUAAGCAUAUCUAUUUAGUCUGCCUAAAAAACAGAUUAUUACCUUUGCUGCAGCUAACAUAAAGGAGAUUAGUUCUUGUGCUGACUGAUGCAGGAUUCACAAAGACAGGCUUCGGCCGACUUUGUAAACUCGAUCUCAAAUCAAGUAAGACUACCCGCUGAACUUAAGCAUAUCAAUAAGCGGAGGA
rnacentral:misc_RNA from 1 species